GGGGAAACUGCGCCCAUAUUCAAUUACCUCCACCUAGUCCCGCCCUUCACACAUGGAGAUUCUAGAGAUUACAGUUCAAGGUGAAAUUUUGGUGGGGACACAGAGCCAAACCAUAUCAUUCUAUCCCUGGUCCCUCCAAAAUCUCCAGUCCUUAUAUUUCAAAACACAACCAUGUCCUUCCAGUAGUCUCCCAAAGUUUUAACUUAUCCCAGCAUUACUGCAAAAGUCCAAGCUCAAAGU